AGGUAACGGCUCACCAAGGCAACGAUGCGUAGCCGACCUGAGAGGGUGAUCGGCCACACUGGGACUGAGACACGGCCCAGACUCCUACGGGAGGCAGCAGUAGGGAAUCUUCCGCAAUGGACGAAAGUCUGACGGAGCAACGCCGCGUGAGUGAUGAAGGCUUUCGGGUCGUAAAACUCUGUUGUUAGGGAAGAACAAGUGCUAGUUGAAUAAGCYGGCACCUUGACGGUACCUAACCAGAAAGCCACGGCUAACUACGUGCCAGCAGCCGCGGUAAUACGUAGGUGGCAAGCGUUAUCCGGAAUUAUUGGGCGUAAAGCGCGCGCAGGUGGUUUCUUAAGUCUGAUGUGAAAGCCCACGGCUCAACCGUGGAGGGUCAUUGGAAACUGGGAGACUUGAGUGCAGAAGAGGAAAGUGGAAUUCCAUGUGUAGCGGUGAAAUGCGUAGAGAUAUGGAGGAACACCAGUGGCGAAGGCGACUUUCUGGUCUGUAACUGACACUGAGGCGCGAAAGCGU
rnacentral:rRNA from 1 species